AAGUCGUAACAAGGUUUCCGUAGGUGAACCUGCGGAAGGAUCAUCGUUGUGAUAUCUUUGAUACCUGUGGGUUUUUUUCCAGAUCCCAACCAAAAGGAGAGAGGCGUUGACUGAGAUUUGUUUUGGAGAAAAAAGGACAAAACUUUCAACAACGGAUCUCUUGGCUCUCA
rnacentral:misc_RNA from 1 species